CAAAAACUAAGAUGUAAAAAAAUAACUGCACCCAAAAUUUCGCGCACCCCACAGUUUUCGCUUGGUUUUCGCACAGUGGGAUUAUUUCAUAUUUGUUACAUUUGAUAGCUCGGAGGAACAAUGCGUGAAUUUUGUUUGACUACUCAACGAAAUUGACUGAAGAGGCUAGGGUCAAUGAUAAGCUGCUGUCGAAGUUUGAGAAUUAAUCGCACUAGGUUUUCAAAUGUCAACAUCAUCUACCUUGACCUGUGACGCAAAUUGAAAUCGGAAGCUACCUAGCAAAGGCGGGCGAGCGAUGCGGGCGGACUGAUUGACGUUCAGCAGCGGCCAACCAUGUCCAGAAGGGGCAGCGCGGCGGCGGCCGGGUCCGGCGCGGCCGGGCUCUGGUCGGACGCCGCUGCCGGCCCCGGCACACCGCUGCGCGGCGACGACAGUCGAAUGAUGGAGCUGGGCUCGCGGCGACCCACGCUCACCAAGCCGCCCUGUUACCGGUACCCCGCCGAGGCCGGCUACUCGGCCGCCGAGUCUGGGUACGGCGACGAGUGCGGCCUACUCAGCUGUCGACCGCGCGCCCUGCAGCGGUUCGCCAGCAUCAAGGUAUUUGUGCUGCUGCUGUCGCUGCUGGUGACGCUCCAGCAGGCUCUCAGCUCCGGCUACCUCAACUCAGUCAUCACCACCAUAGAGAAGCGGUACGAGAUCCCCAGCUCGCUUACCGGCGUCAUCGCCUCAUUCUACGAGAUCGGCAACAUGCUCACCGUCAUCUUCGUCAGCUACCUCGGCUCGCGGCGACACGUACCCGUGUGGAUCGGCAGAGGCAUCAUCGUGAUGGGCCUGGGCAGCCUGCUGUUCUCCGUGCCGCACUUCCUGACGGACAGCUACAGCCUCAGUGUGGACUCCAACUCGAGCUCUGUGGCGGAUAACGUGUGCCGGCCGGCCGUGCGCCGUGACCAGUAUCGCCAGUUCGAGCAGAUCACUGGCAUCGAAAGCAUCGACCUGUCUCGGGACCUGGCGUCUCCUCCACUCUCUCCUCACAACAACCUGCACGGCCGGUGCGACAACUGCAUUGACGGCACCAUCAGCAACCUGCUGCCCGUGCUGAUCUUCAUGCUGGCUCAGCUGCUGCUGGGCUCGGGCGGUUCGCCGCUCUUUACACUGGGCACUACCUACAUUGACGACCACGUGCCCCGGGAGAGCUCCUCAUUCUAUAUCGGCUGCAUGUACAGUAUGGUGGCGUUCGGGCCGGUACUGGGCUUCCUGCUCGGAGCCUACAUGCUCUCCCACCACGUGGACGCCUUCUCCGGCAUCCCACUACCUGAUGAUGCCGACACAUCGGACCCGCGCUGGGUGGGCAUGUGGUGGGGCGGCUUCCUCAUCUGUGGCAUCGGCAUGUUCGUGCUCGGAGCGCCCUUCUUCCUCUUCCCCAAGAGCCUGGAGUGUGAGAAGCAGCGUGUCCGGGAGGAGGAAAAAGCCAAGGAGGCCAAGCGGCAGCACCGGGCCGCGUCACGUGGCUCCGAGGAACACUUCCAUCAUUUCCGGCAACGCCACGUGUCCGAGCACGAGCCGCACGGGCACGGCGGACACGUGCACGGACACGCGGCACGUGGCCACCGGCGCACGGCCAGCAGUAAUGUGGUAAUCGACCACAGCGCCAGCAAACAGGCCCACUUCAAACCGGGCCAUCGGCGGACUCUAUCCAACCCGACUGAGCAUGAAUACCGCAGUCGGCUGCGUCACAUGGAGCUGGCCGCCCAGCAGAAGGCGGCACAGGCCGAGCCGGCCAAGAACGUCUACACGGUGUCCCAGACGGCGCUGUCCAAAACCGGCCCACAGCGAGCGCUGUCUCAGAACAGUUUCCACCGCGGUCAUCGGCGCACAAAGUCGAAUGUGUCGCAGGUUAGCCGGGUCAGCCAGCACAGUGUCCGCUCGGCACGCUCCAACUACGGACGGGAUGUCAAAGACCUGCCGAAGUCGAUGUGGAAGCUGGUGUGUAACCCAAUCUACGUGGUCACCUGCCUGGGCGCGUGCAUGGAGCUGAUGAUCGUCUCCGGAUUCAUCGUGUUCCUGCCCAAAUACCUGGAGACCCAGUUCAGCCUCAGCAAGAGCCAGGCCUCUGUGUUCGCGGGCGGGAUUGCCAUCCCGGGCGCCUGCAUGGGCGUCUUCAUGGGCGGCUACAUCCUGAAGCGUCUCCAGCUGCGACCCAAGGGCGCCGUCCAGCUGAUCCUCAUCUUCCAGAUGAUCUCGCUGGCAAUGUACAGCGUCCUCUUCGUCGUCGGCUGCGACAACGUCAAGAUGGCGGGCGCCACAGCCCCGUACUCACUCAGCUCUCGUCAGAGCCCGGAGAUGUUCAGCGUCAACCUGACGGCCAGCUGUAACUUUGGCUGCGAUUGUGACCGGAACGAAGUGGAGCCCGUGUGUGGGACGAAUGGACUGACAUACUUCUCACCUUGUCACGCCGGCUGUACGACCUACAGCGCCGAGAGCAACUAUACUAACUGCGCCUGUAUAAACGAAGCUGGCAACUCGAGCAGCCAGUACGCCGAGAUCACCAUGGUGCCCGUCGCCACGCCUGGCUCUUGCUCGCGCGCCUGCUCCAACGCGCUGCCGUUCAUGGUGCUGCUGUUUUUCAUGACGUUCGUGGUGGCCAUCACCCAGAUGCCGCUGCUGAUGAUCGUGCUGAGAUCGGUGGACGAGGAGGAGCGCGCGUUCGCGCUCGGCAUGCAGUUUGUCAUCUUCCGCCUGUUCGCCUACAUCCCGUCACCGAUUCUGUUCGGCAACGUGAUCGACUCGACGUGCGUGCUGUGGAAGUCGCAGUGCGGCGAGCGGGCCGGGCGCUGCCUCAUCUACGACAUCGAGGUGUUCAGAUUCAAGUACGUGGGCAUUUGUGCGGGCCUGAAGGUGCUCUCGCUGAUAAUCUUCCUGCUGGACUGGUUCAUGAUCCGGUGGAAGUACAAGCUGGACAUGAACCACACCAUGACGGUGGGCGACAUCGUCAACUCCAUCAUCAGCGUAGAUCGAGCUCCGUUCUGCCAUUUUAACGAGGACCGGUGGCUGGCUCGGCAUCCGACGCACCGUGCCAACCGACUGAUGACCCUAUGAACCGCUGGAAACGAGAGAGGAAGGUUCGAGGGACCGCCCGUCCCGCCGCCGCGGUCGGCGGGACCAUUCUGGUUACCGUGAAGUGGAGGUAGACGAAGCUAUCGAGGAGGAGGAGCGGCUAGCCUGCGGUGACGAGCCGCUGGCUCCCCGCGGAUCCAUCGACUCCUGCGACUCGGCGCUGCUGGGUGACGACGAGCACACGGCCGUACAUGGUGUGUGAACGCGCUGGCCGCGGCGCCCCGCUUCUCUCUGUGAUCUGACGCCGCGCACCGGGGCGCGACCGGUGACCGGCGAAGGGCGACGCCCGCCACGCGGUGGCAGCUCAACUGGGGUGUCCGGCGCGCCGUGUGUGUGGGAGGAGGGUGUGUGCUGAGCGAGAGAGCGAGCGAGUGAGCUGCGCACCUCUCAGUAUUGGUCCCGCGCCACACGCACACUUUACGACGGCAGGGAGCGCGCGCUGACGUGACGUAGAAUCGCAGCUGGGCCGUGCGUGGGUUCCGCUAGCAACAUGCCUUACCCAUAGAUUAUUGUUUUAUAGAUGACAGAAGAGGCAAAUUGUGUUGGUUAUACAUAUAUGCGUCGAUUGGUGAUGAAACGCUGUGCCGUGUGGCCAAAAAUCACGUCCAUGUGUGAGGUGUUCAGAGCACCCUUUGCACGUGAUCUGUAUUGAUGGAUCUGUGUUAAUGUGGAUGACAAUGUUGGGGAGGCUGAAGGCCUGCAAGUCGCCGGUCGUGGAUGGCUUGUUGGCGCAAAUGGCGACGAACUAGGCGCGUCGGUGGCGAUCAGUGGCGCAGUAGUGUUGUUGGUGUGUCAGUGAACCGUCUUCUUUCCCGCACAGAAAUCUCGCUGUUUCUCUUCCACCACACGUGUUGUUCUGCACGUGCUCACAGUCACAGGUAGCCUACAUGAUAGCCUGGGACGCUUGAAAGCCUACUGAGCUGCAGCGCCCGCCUAAAAACCCAACUCACAGUCACAGUUGUGAGCAGUCUGUCAGUCUGGCCGUCCGCGCUCUCUCUUUCCAGGCGGGUCCGCGCGGCCCGCCUACGUCUGUCCGUCCGGGGUCUCUCCGCCACUCUGCCUCAGCCUCCUCACUCUGUCCGCGGGCCGCCCGCUCUCUGUCUCCUCUGUAGCUGGGGCCGUUUGUGGGGGGGGGGGGGGUGUAAAUGACCCCGGUGUCGCAGGUCGGGGAGGGGCGUGGGUGGCCGCUGGCGCCCGCCACCCCGGCCUGCUGCCAACCUGUGGAAGAGACGCGUAAUCAGCUGACGGCCGCCGCCCUGGAGCGAACAGCGAGCGGUGCAGAGCGUGAGCCGGCCCCGGGCCGCGCCGAGCGUGAACGCUCCGAAAAACCGCCGGUGGAUCCGAAUUGUGGGCAGUCAGAACAGAGAUAUAUAAUGCCGUAGUCUUGUAUUUAUUUAUUUUGACGGCUAGCUCCAGGACAGUAUUACGUGUAGAACAUAGAUCACCGCGGUAUGUUGAUUCAUGUUGUGAAAUUAGUGGCCGAUGUUGUGUACUGUACGCAGUUCUCUUAUGUCAACCAAUCAGAUGCAGAGCUGGUUAUAUGUUAUUAUUUAUUGUACUUAAUGCGACGACAUCUUAGUUUUCCACUAGCAUCGAUGUCAUACGAUAUUGUGUUGAAAAAUACAUAGCGUGGUAUAA
rnacentral:misc_RNA from 1 species